rnacentral:rRNA from 1 species
AGCCCGUACCGUAAACCGACACAGGUAGUCGAGGAGAGUAUCCUAAGGCGCUCGAGUGAAUCAUGGCUAAGGAAUUAGGCAAAAUGGCCUCGUAACUUCGGGAGAAGAGGCGCUCAUAGCAAUGUGAGCCGCAGUGAAAAGGCCCAGGCGACUGUUUAGCAAAAACACAGGACUCUGCGAAAUCGAAAGAUGAAGUAUAGGGUCUGACAUCUGCCCGGUGCUGGAAGGUUAGGGAAGGUGCUUAGCGCAAGCGAAGGUAUUGACUGAAGCCCCAGUAAACGGCGGCCGUAACAAUAACGGUCCUAAGGUAGCGAAAUUCCUUGUCGGGUAAGUUCCGACCUGCACGAAUGGUGUAACGAUCUGGGCACUGUCUCAGCCAUGAGCUCGGUGAAAUUGAAGUAUCGGUGAAGAUGCCGGUUACCCGCAGUGGGACGAAAAGACCCCGUGCACCUUUACUAUAGCUUCACAUUGAGCUUGAGUAUAAGAUGUGUAGGAUAGGUGGGAGACUAUGAAGUUGUCACGCUAGUGGUGAUGGAGUCGCCGUUGAAAUACCACCCUUCUUAUGCUUAGGUUCUAACUCCUGCGAAACAGGAGGACAUUGUGUGGUGGGUAGUUUGACUGGGGUGGUCGCCUCCAAAAGAGUAACGGAGGCUUGCAAAGGUUCCCUCAGCAUGGUCGGUAAUCAUGCGUAGAGCGUAUUAGUAUAAGGGAGCUUGACUGGGAGACCGACGGGUCGAUCAGGGACGAAAGUCGGCUAAAGUGAUCCGGUGGUUCCGUAUGGAAGGGCCAUCGCUCAAAGGAUAAAGGGUACGCCGGGGAUAACAGGCUUAUCUCCCCCAAGAGCUCACAUCGACGGGGAGGUUUGGCACCUCGAUGUCGGCUCGUCACAUCCUGGGGCUGGAGAAGGUCCCAAGGGUUGGGCUGUUCGCCCAUUAAAGUGGCACGCGAGCUGGGUUCAGAACGUCGCAAGACAGUUCGGUCUCUAUCUACUGUGGGCGUAGGAAUAUUGAGAAGAUCUGACACUAGUACGAGAGGACCGUGUUGGACAGACCUCUAGUGUACCAGUUAUGCCGCCAGGUGUAUCGCUGGGUAGCUAUGUUUGGAACGGAUAAGCGCUGAAAGCAUCUAAGCGCGAAGCCAACUUCAAGAUGAGUAUUCCAUUGUCUUCGGACUAAAAGGGUUGUUGUAGAUGACGACGUUGAUAGGCUAUAGGUGGAAGUGCAGUGAUGUAUGGAGCCGAGUAGUACUAAUUACCCGAAUGCUUCCUAU